rnacentral:tRNA from 1 species
GCCGGCGUAGCUCAACUGGCAGAGCAACUCGCCUGUACCGAGAAGGUUGUUGGUUCGAUCCCGACCGCCGGCU